rnacentral:rRNA from 1 species
UCCUACGGGGCGCAGCAGUGAGGAAUAUUGGUCAAUGGGAGAGAUCCUGAACCAGUCAAGCCGCGUGAGGGAAGACGGCCCUAUGGGUUGUAAACCUCUUUUGUCGGAGAACAAAACCCGGGACGUGUCCCGGACUGCGUGUAUCCGAAGAAAAAGCAUCGGCUAACUCCGUGCCAGCAGCCGCGGUAAUACGGAGGAUGCGAGCGUUAUCCGGAUUUAUUGGGUUUAAAGGGUGCGCAGGCGGGAGAUCAAGUCAGCGGUAAAAUGUCGGGGCUCAACCCCGGCCGGCCGUUGAAACUGGUUUU